CGCCUUGCCAGCCCGCUCAGAAACUCAAAGGAAUUGACGGGGGCCCGCACAAGCGGUGGAGCACGUGGUUAAUUCGAUGAUACGCGAGGAACCUUACCUGGGCUCAAAUGUAUGUUGACGUAUUCUGAAAGGGAUACUUCUUCGGACAAUAUACAAGGUGCUGCAUGGUUGUCGUCAGCUCGUGCCGUGAGGUGUCGGGUUAAGUCCCAUAACGAGCGCAACCCCUAUCAUUAGUUGCCAUCAGGUCAAGCUGGGGACUCUAAUGAAACUGCCUACGCAAGUAGUGAGGAAGGUGGGGAUGACGUCACGUCAUCAUGGCCCUUACGGCCUGGGCUACACACGUGCUACAAUGGUCGGUACAAAGGGUUGCCAAGCCGCGAGGUGGAGCUAAUCCCAUAAAACCGAUCGUAGUCCGGAUCGCAGUCUGCAACUCGACUGCGUGAAGUCGGAAUCGCUAGUAAUCGUGAAUCAGAAUGUCACGGUGAAUACGUUCCCGGGCCUU
rnacentral:rRNA from 1 species